rnacentral:rRNA from 1 species
AAAACAUCGCCUCUUGCAAAACGAACGAAUAAGAGGUCCCGCCUGCCCUGUGACUAUAUGUUUAACGGCCGCGGUAUUUUGACCGUGCGAAGGUAGCGCAAUCACUUGUCUUUUAAAUGGAGACCUGUAUGAAAGGCAUCACGAGGGCUUAGCUGUCUCCCCUUUAAAGUCAAUGAAAUUGAUCUCCCCGUGCAGAAGCGGGGAUAUGCUCGUAAGACGAGAAGACCCUAUGGAGCUUAAGAUAAAAGGCGAGUCAUGUCAAACACCCCUUCAAAGGAAGUUGAACGAAAUGAUACCCGCUGGAAUGUCUUCGGUUGGGGCGACCGCGGGGAAAGACAAAACCCCCACAUGGACCAGGGCCACUAUAGCCCUAAAACCUAGACCCACAGGUCAAGUCAACAGUAAAUCUGACUACCAAAGAGCCGGCAAUGCCGAUCAACGGACCGAGUUACCCUAGGGAUAACAGCGCAAUCCCCUCCCAGAGCCCUUAUCGACGAGGGGGUUUACGACCUCGAUGUUGGAUCAGGACAUCCUAAUGGUGCAGCCGCUAUUAAGGGUUCGUUUGUUCAACGAUUAAAGUCCUACGUGAU